rnacentral:rRNA from 1 species
UCCUGACUGACCGAUAGUGAACCAGUACCGUGAGGGAAAGGCGAAAAGAACCCCGGCGAGGGGAGUGAAAAAGAACCUGAAACCGUGUACGUACAAGCAGUGGGAGCACGCUUAGGCGUGUGACUGCGUACCUUUUGUAUAAUGGGUCAGCGACUUAUAUUCUGUAGCAAGGUUAACCGAAUAGGGGAGCCGAAGGGAAACCGAGUCUUAACUGGGCGUUAAGUUGCAGGGUAUAGACCCGAAACCCGGUGAUCUAGCCAUGGGCAGGUUGAAGGUUGGGUAACACUAACUGGAGGACCGAACCGACUAAUGUUGAAAAAUUAGCGGAUGACUUGUGGCUGGGGGUGAAAGGCCAAUCAAACCGGGAGAUAGCUGGUUCUCCCCGAAAGCUAUUUAGGUAGCGCCUCGUGAAUUCAUCUCCGGGGGUAGAGCACUGUUUCGGCAAGGGGGUCAUCCCGACUUACCGACCCGAUGCAAACUGCGAAUACCGGAGAAUGUUAUCACGGGAGACACACGGCGGGUGCUAACGUCCGUCGUGAAGAGGGAAACAACCCAGACCGCCAGCUAAGGUCCCAAAGUCAUGGUUAAGUGGGAAACGAUGUGGGAAGGCCCAGACAGCCAGGAUGUUGGCUUAGAAGCAGCCAUCAUUUAAAGAAAGCGUAAUAGCUCACUGGUCGAGUCGGCCUGCGCGGAAGAUGUAACGGGGCUAAACCAUGCACCGAAGCUGCGGCAGCGACGCUUAUGCGUUGUUGGGUAGGGGAGCGUUCUGUAAGCCUGCGAAGGUGUGCUGUGAGGCAUGCUGGAGGUAUCAGAAGUGCGAAUGCUGACAUAAGUAACGAUAAAGCGGGUGAAAAGCCCGCUCGCCGGAAGACCAAGGGUUCCUGUCCAACGUUAAUCGGGGCAGGGUGAGUCGACCCCUAAGGCGAGGCCGAAAGGCGUAGUCGAUGGGAAACAGGUUAAUAUUCCUGUACUUGGUGUUACUGCGAAGGGGGGACGGAGAAGGCUAUGUUGGCCGGGCGACGGUUGUCCCGGUUUAAGCGUGUAGGCUGGUUUUCCAGGCAAAUCCGGAAAAUCAAGGCUGAGGCGUGAUGACGAGGCACUACGGUGCUGAAGCAACAAAUGCCCUGCUUCCAGGAAAAGCCUCUAAGCAUCAGGUAACAUCAAAUCGUACCCCAAACCGACACAGGUGGUCAGGUAGAGAAUACCAAGGCGCUUGAGAGAACUCGGGUGAAGGAACUAGGCAAAAUGGUGCCGUAACUUCGGGAGAAGGCACGCUGAUAUGUAGGUGAAGUCCCUUGCGGAUGGAGCUGAAAUCAGUCGAAGAUACCAGCUGGCUGCAACUGUUUAUUAAAAACACAGCACUGUGCAAACACGAAAGUGGACGUAUACGGUGUGACGCCUGCCCGGUGCCGGAAGGUUAAUUGAUGGGGUCAGCGCAAGCGAAGCUCUUGAUCGAAGCCCCGGUAAACGGCGGCCGUAACUAUAACGGUCCUAAGGUAGCGAAAUUCCUUGUCGGGUAAGUUCCGACCUGCACGAAUGGCGUAAUGAUGGCCAGGCUGUCUCCACCCGAGACUCAGUGAAAUUGAACUCGCUGUGAAGAUGCAGUGUACCCGCGGCAAGACGGAAAGACCCCGUGAACCUUUACUAUAGCUUGACACUGAACAUUGAGCCUUGAUGUGUAGGAUAGGUGGGAGGCUUUGAAGUGUGGACGCCAGUCUGCAUGGAGCCGGCCUUGAAAUACCACCCUUUAAUGUUUGAUGUUCUAACGUGGACCCGUGAUCCGGGUUGCGGACAGUGUCUGGUGGGUAGUUUGACUGGGGCGGUCUCCUCCUAAAGAGUAACGGAGGAGCACGAAGGUUGGCUAAUCCUGGUCGGACAUCAGGAGGUUAGUGCAAUGGCAUAAGCCAGCUUGACUGCGAGCGUGACGGCGCGAGCAGGUGCGAAAGCAGGUCAUAGUGAUCCGGUGGUUCUGAAUGGAAGGGCCAUCGCUCAACGGAUAAAAGGUACUCCGGGGAUAACAGGCUGAUACCGCCCAAGAGUUCAUAUCGACGGCGGUGUUUGGCACCUCGAUGUCGGCUCAUCACAUCCUGGGGCUGAAGUAGGUCCCAAGGGUAUGGCUGUUCGCCAUUUAAAGUGGUACGCGAGCUGGGUUUAGAACGUCGUGAGACAGUUCGGUCCCUAUCUGCCGUGGGCGCUGGAGAACUGAGGGGGGCUGCUCCUAGUACGAGAGGACCGGAGUGGACGCAUCACUGGUGUUCGGGUUGUCAUGCCAAUGGCACUGCCCGGUAGC